UACGUAGGUGGCAAGCGUUGUUCGGAAUUAUUGGGCGUAAAGGGCGCGUAGGCGGUUUGUUAAGUCGGCUGUGAAAGCCCGGGGCUCAACCCCGGAGGGUCAGCCGAUACUGGCAGACUAGAGUACGGAAGAGGUAGCUGGAAUUCCCGGUGUAGCGGUGAAAUGCGUAGAGAUGUGGAGGAACACCAGUGGCGAAGGCGGCUCUUUGGUCUGUAACUGACGCUGAGGCGCGAAAGCGUGGGGAGCGAACAGG
rnacentral:rRNA from 1 species